CACUACGGCCACGCCACCCUGAAUGUGCCUGACCUCAUCAGAUCUUGGAAGCUAAGCAGGGUUGAGCCUGGUUAGUACUUGGAUGGGAGACCAGCUAGGAAGACUGGGUGCUGCAGGCG
rnacentral:rRNA from 1 species